rnacentral:lncRNA from 1 species
UCUCUGAGGGCAACUAAAAGUUCCUCUGAAGGGAAAAAUCGAUAAUUCAAAGCAUGCUUUUUCAAAAUUUUUUAGCGAAAGACUAUAGAUUAAAUAAUUUAAUCUAUUUUGCUUGCCCUAAAUCUGAUAUAGAAACUACUUAAUUUGGAUCAUAUGACAUGAAUAAAUGCAACAUCUGAUUUCUAUAUGUGAUUGAUCAUAUCAAUCAUGCAAGC